UCGGGGGCUUGUCGGCCAUACAUCUAUGGGCCCACCGGGAGGCAUGGACAGUCCUAGAUAUGGGGCUGUACACCGAGACAUGUCAGACAUGGAGACUACGAUGCAGGACGGCGUGGUCUACAUGGAGGAUAGGAACUAGUCGAGGAUGAGAAACUACUCGUAGCAAUUAGAGUAGGACUCUCUAGUCGAAUCCAACUAGUAUUCUUGUAAACAACCGACCUAUAGCCAUGCCUCCAGCAAUAUAAGGCGAUGCAGGGACCCCCUCCAAACAACAUCAAUCAAUACAAUCCAACCAACACAAAUGACGUAGGGUAUUACGCUACAUAAGUGGUCCGAACCUGUCUAAAUUGUGUGUUUGAGUUCACCUUUGAGUUCCUGAUCUUGGCGAGUCCCACGCAUAGAACACUACCUUGGGUACCCCCUCGGUAGGUUAUCGGGUUUAAACACCGAC
rnacentral:lncRNA from 1 species